GACGAACGCUGGCGGCGUGCCUAAUACAUGCAAGUCGAGCGGAGUAAAAAGCGUGCUUGCACGGUUUUUAUUUAGCGGCGAACGGGUGAGUAACACGUAGGUAACCUGGCCAUAAGACAGGGAUAACGCACGGAAACGUGAGCUAAAACCAGAUAGGCAUUUCCACGCAUGAGGGAGAUGAGAAAAGGCGGAGCAAUCUGCCGCUUAUGGAUGGACCUGCGUCGCAUUAGCUAGUUGGAGUGGUAAAGGCACACCAAGGCGACGAUGCGUAGCCGACCUGAGAGGGUGAGCGGCCACACUGGGACUGAGACACGGCCCAGACUCCUACGGGAGGCAGCAGUGGGGAAUUUUGGACAAUGGGCGCAAGCCUGAUCCAGCCAUGCCGCGUGUCUGAAGAAGGCCUGGUUGUAAGGACUUUGUCUAGGG
rnacentral:rRNA from 1 species